GUGGCUUCAGGAAAAACAGUGGUAAAUGACUGGACUGAUUAAAGUGGAACUCUGAUAGGACCAUAGCAGGAGGACUCUAACCCCAUGAAUCAUCACAAAGCCAUUCUCUGAGGUGGAGAACUGUUAGGUUGGGAUGAAGCAUGUGCUGGAAAUGAGGAAUGAUCGGGAGCCUGAACUGCAGCUGGACACAUAAGUGAAUUGACUUAGUUAUUACAGUACAUGGACCAGACUGAGGAAAAUACAUUGAAGGUUGGAGUUGGCAAAGCAGUCUAAUUGGUGAACAAAGUAAUGAGGGGAUGGACCUUUAAAGAAAGACUUGUGGGGGAGGAGAGAGAAGAACAGAUGGAGGCUACUGAAGCCAGCUUCACCAUCAUGGCUGCCACCUCCAUGGUCUCCUGGGACCUCAGACAACCUUUGACCUAAUCCUGAGAGAUGUCCUCACCAGACUGAGCCAGCGCGAGGGACCCAGAUAAAAUUGCCACCCCUACUGGCUCCAGCUGAAUCCCACGCACCAUCUGGAAUGAAAUAGGAUCAGACUUUAUCAGCAGCAACAGCUCCAGCCCAUCUUAACUAACUUUCUCUUCCCCAAAUGGGCACUUAUUGCCAUCUUUAAUACCGUGUUUGACAGUCUGAGAGGGGAUUUCUUCCUUUUAGAACUCUCUCCAUGGAAAGGAAACAAGGGAUAUUGUUUAAAGGAAAGCCUUAUGUAAUAAUUUACCUU